rnacentral:misc_RNA from 1 species
UCAGAUGUAAAUCACAUGUCAACUUGGCAUUGUUACUUCAAAUUUUGCCUUACCCUUCAGAAUAGUGACGUAACGGGCCAAGCAAGGGAGGAAACGGGGAUAGAAAAUUGCUCUGCAGUGACAUUUCAUGAGGAAAAGAUGAUUUUUACCUAUACUCCACCUACUUCAAAAGAAAUCAUAAAGCACUACGAAAUUCAAAGUCGCAUGGAGUUAGUGCUCAUGUGCAUUUCUAUGGUAGCGGUGGUUCUUGCACUCGUACUUCUUACAUAUCUGAGGAUAAGGACCACUGAGAAAAUUUUCAUCCACAAAAAUCUCCUCCUUUCACUUGGGCUUGGAAAUCUUGUUUUUGUUCUGGACAAAACUCUAUUUGUUACACGAAACGAACACUCGGCUCUAUGUUCGACAGUGGCGGUCGUUCAGUUUUUUUUAGACAUUGCGCUGUUCACGUGGAUGCUUGUUGAAGGGAUGAAUCUUUACAGCAAGCUUAUCGUGGUUUUCAAUACUCCCAGACGAUAUGUCACCUACUUGGCAAUAGGAUGGGGUAUCCCAGCAGUCCUUGUGGGAUUGAUAGCGGCUGUCAGACCCAGUACCUUUGACAUGGGUAGUGCUCUGUAUGUGGACAUACAGUGUGGCUCACUAAGCCUUCAAGCUGAGAUCGAACGAACAACGUGUUGGCUAAACGGAAGUCUCUGGAUAUACAAAGGACCAGUCUUGGCCAUACUCGUGAUAAACUUGAUAAUGUUUGUGAUUCUUAUGCGUGUGAUUUUUGGGAAAAUUUCCGCAAGAUUUGGCAAGGACCGUCUCAAUGUCGCAAAGGUAUCAUGUUUUUCAUCUUUCACUGUGUGUGCGAUGACCAGGUCCAACAGGCCAUAAAAAAGUUAUAUACCAAGCCUGAAGGUUCAGCAACGUCAGAGAAACCGCAACAAGUCACCAAGGAGACUGGGAGCAAUACUCGUUCGGCGUUAGGAUUGCUUUAGAUGCAAGGAGACAUAAGGACAAUCACACCACAGGGAGCCUGAGUUUGAAGCUGAAUUAAAGCCCUAUCAGUAAUAUAGCUUAAACAUGUAAAGCAUAAUGUAGUGGGUUAACAUCCAAAUAGCAAACGCUUAGCUGGCGCCGAGAUUAUUUAGGAGAAAACCAAAGCUGUAUAUUUAAGAAUGUAGCAAAUAGAAAUCCCAUUUUGUUCUUUUACGUAAAGUAAGAUCGACAUAUACCUUAUAUAAAUACAAUUUGAUUUCAGUCUCUCCUAGAAUUAAUUCAUAUGUCAGCAUCUUUUUAUAUAUCUCUGUGGAACGUAGUUUACAUUCCAUCAUUCUGAUUUUCUCAAAGCCUCAAACAUACAGGGAGGGUGAUAUAAGCGGUUUAAUAAAUGAGGACAAGACUAACAAGAUUGUUUUAAUGCAAAAUUCUCCAAAUAAGAAUCUAUAUAUUUAUCGUAGUA